UUAGUUUGGAUCGGCGGAAAGUGAAGUAUGAUGUCGGCAUCGCGGUCGAUGAGUCUUUUGCAAGUGGCCCCAUUCGGAUUCCAAUUUCUUUUGUAUGCUUACGUCAAGUUUGAUUCUAUUCCAUUCAAAUGGAAAGUAGAAGGUUACCCGAUGGACAACUCAUCACACGCUUGUAUGGCAUCGUGUGUGGCAUGCAAUAUGAAUAUCUAAGGGCUUUUAACGGGGGUUUUCAUAUGUGAAGCUGAAACCAGCAAAACAUAUUAUUAUUCUGAUGGAUACAAGGAGGAAAAUUUUGAUGUUGACGGUUGAUCUAAUACAUGUCAAGUUGGAAGAGGAUUUCAAAGCACAGGCUAAGAAGAGAUGCAAUGAUGUUUUCUUAUAUGUUUUUGAGAUGAAGACGUUAACAUUGAACCUGAUGGUGACGAGUAUGAUGAAGUGGAAAAGAAAUUUGGUUAUGAGGAGGAAAUUGAUGAUACAUAAGGAGAUAAUGUGCGUGAUUUAGGAGAUGAGGAUGGUGUACAUUACGUCAUACACGAUCCAAUAGUAAAAUGGAAUAAGAUGAAGUCGUAAAAGGUACCGAUCACCACAUUAAUUGAAAAUUUGCUUGACAAAUUAUGUUAUAAACAAUGAUUAUAGUUUAAUGUUCGUAAAGUGUAACAACGUUCACUUAGUUUUUAGAUACGGUACAAAAAAUGAUAGAGUUUAGUGUACAUCUAAACUUCAAUCUUCCUGGAUGACUCAAUAAAUAUCCUUUUAGGUAUAAACGAAUUGUUGACAAACACAAAUGUGUUAGAAAAUUCAACAAUGCAAAUUUAAUGAACCUAACUUUGUGUGUAAUAUACUUUGUGAAGGAUUUGAUUAGAAAACAUAAUUGAAAUGUAAGGGCAUGCAAUUAAUAAAUAAAAGCAAGUUUCAUUGUGAAGUGUCUUGGUCUAAGUGUUACAGAUAGAUCAAGGUAUAGGGCAAUGAGCCUCAGACAAGGUAAACUCAUAAACCAUUAUUUUAAGGUGUGGAAUUACUCUCACGAGUUAAUCCAUUCUUAAAAGGUACAUGUGAAGGAGUACUACUUACAAUAAUAGGAAGGGAUGACAACAAUCAAGUAUAUCCUAUUGCAUGGGCAAUUGUUGUUAUUGAGAGCAAGGGUAAUUGGAAAUGGUUUGUGGAAAUAGUUAAUAUGGAUCUUGGCCUGCAAGGUGGAAGUGGAAUGGGUAUAAUUUCUGAUCAACAUAAGAUAUGCUUUUGGUCAAAUUAUUAUUUCAAAAUUGUGUCUUUUAUUUACUAAUUUAUUUCUUUAAUACAUUACGAGGGUUGAUUGAAGCCACAAAAAAAUAUUACCAUAUGUGGAGCACAAAACAAUGUGGGAGACACAUAUAUGCUAACUUUAUGAAGACUUUUAGUAAUGUUGAAUUCAAAAACAUGUUUUAGCUAUAAGCAUUUUCUACUAAUGAGGGUGAUUUUCUGAAGAAAAAAAUGGACGAAAUCAAUAAGGUGAAUGUUAGUGCUUAUGAUCAUCUUCAAUAAAGAGAUCCGCAAACAUGGUGCAUGGCUUUCUUUAAGGGUGAAAUAGCAUGUGAUGCAGUUAAAAAUGGAAUUGUAGAGUUCUUCAAUGUUAUUAUAAUUGCUAGAAAGAAAUCCUUAUUGACUAUGCUUGAGGAAAUUAGGUUUGUGGAUGAUCGAUAGGUUUUAUCAUAUGUUAGAAAAGGAAGAGAAGUGGGAUACACACUUUUGGAGAGGACUUGAGGUUUGUAAUCUUUUUACUUUCCUUUUGAAUUGCACAAGUAGUAAUUUUAAGUACUAAUUUCAUUACAGGAAUUGUCAUGUAUACCCAAGUAGAGUAACUGAUUUUGAAGUAAGGAAUGGUUAUGCUUAUGUUAUUGAUUUAGAGGGACAUGUAUACACUUGUAGACUCUGGGAGAUGUCAAGUAUUCCUUAUAUACAUGGAUAAGCAUUAACCCUUUUAUAUAUUAUUGGGCAAGAUCAUGUGAACUUUAUCAAUAUGUGGUUUGAUGUAGAGAAGUUCAAGGCAACAUAUACAACUAACUUACUACAUGUUAAUGGAAGUAGCUCGUCACUUAGAACUGCAUACACCAAACCUUUGCCCUUUUUAGCUGGAAGGAUGUCCAAUAGACCAAGUGUACAAAGAAAAAGACAUGCGAGUGAGUCUAGUGAUGAAGGGGUGGCGGUAGAAGAUCUAGAGGUGGCAGAGUGGUGGCUAAAGUCGAAGGUAAAUAGGUUAAACAUGAUGUAAAAGGGAAGAGCACUACUACAGUUGGGCAGUGCUGGAAUUAAAAAACUAAUGUAAUCGAAUUGCAAUAGACUAUAAAUAAUAUGAAAAAAAAAUCCAAAUACUCAAAUGAAGAAAUUAUACAUGCCUCGGAUACCACAAAAAAGGAAUUUGAAGAUAGCUUUGGGGACAAAGAUAUUUUGUUGAUGUACCUAUGUUCUCAAAAACCAUUAUAUUCACAAGAGAGUUUCUACUCCUCAAAGUUUACACAUGACUUCAACAUCAAGUACGUAAGGUGGACAAAUGAAAGUGAAUGGGGAUGUGGUUUUAUUCACGAUUUUACAACCUAAACUCAUGAACAGGGAUGUGGUUUUAUUCAUGAUUUUACAACCUAAACUCAUGAGCUCAUGAGCUAGAUACUUAUUUUGAGAUAAUACUUAAAAAAAAAAAAAAAGUUGUCACGCAUGUAUAUUAAGUGUUGUAAAAAUGAACACGAACAAGAGUUUGUUCAUGUUCAUUUGUUUAAGUUUACAACACAACCGAUAUGUAGAUCGUACUUUGCAAUGUCUCUUUGAACAUAAACGAACAAAUA